rnacentral:rRNA from 1 species
AACGUAGGGGGCGAGCGUUGUCCGGAAUUACUGGGCGUAAAGGGCGCGUAGGCGGUUGUAUAAGUCAGAGGUGAAAACUCCGGGCUCAACCCGGAGCCCGCCUCUGAAACUGUAUGACUUGAGGGCAGGAGAGGGGAGUGGAAUUCCCAGUGUAGCGGUGAAAUGCGUAGAUAUUGGGAGGAACACCAGUGGCGAAGGCGGCUCUCUGGCCUAACCCUGACGCUGAGGCGCGAAAGCGUGGGGAG